rnacentral:rRNA from 1 species
GAUGAACGCUGGCGGCGUGCCUAAUACAUGCAAGUCGAGCGAACGGACGAGAAGCUUGCUUCUCUGAUGUUAGCGGCGGACGGGUGAGUAACACGUGGAUAACCUACCUAUAAGACUGGGAUAACUUCGGGAAACCGGAGUUAAUACCGGAUAAUAUUUUGAACCGCAUGGUUCAAAAGUGAAAGACGGUCUUGCUGUCACUUAUAGAUGGAUCCGCGCUGCAUUAGCUAGUUGGUAAGGUAACGGCUUACCAAGGCAACGAUGCAUAGCCGACCUGAGAGGGUGAUCGGCCACACUGGAACUGAGACACGGUCCAGACUCCUACGGGAGGCAGCAGUAGGGAAUCUUCCGCAAUGGGCGAAAGCCUGACGGAGCAACGCCGCGUGAGUGAUGAAGGUCUUCGGAUCGUAAAACUCUGUUAUUAGGGAAGAACAUAUGUGUAAGUAACUGUGCACAUCUUGACGGUACCUAAUCAGAAAGCCACGGCUAACUACGU